AUGUCUGACACAAGUGAGAGUGGUGCAGGUCUAACCUGUUUCCAGGCUGAAACUUCAGAAGAGGACAACAGCUUGGUGAUGCGGACUCUACUGGCAGUGACCCAGAACUUGGAAGUCUCAGAGGCACCCAAGGCCUCAAAGGCACCAGAGGCCACAGGGGUCCCAAAGGCCACAGGAGUCCCAAUGGCCACAGGAGUCUCAAAGACCCAAGAAGCUCAGGAGGCAGCUGUCACCCAAGCCUCACCUACCAUUCAGCAGACUGAUACCCAGGUUCUGAAAGCUGGAAAAAAGAGCCCAGCAGCUGACACCAAGAUACAGAAUACUGACCCUGAGACCAAAAAAGUCAAUUGUGUGGCUGAUAACCAGGUUAAAACAAAGGCCCAUGAGACGGAGGCUUCUGCUUCUCAGGCUCCCACAGAUGAACCUGAGCCUGAGCAUGCAGCUGCUGAGGCUCAGGAGAAUCAGGAUGCUCGACCCAAGGUCAAGACUAAGAAAGCUCGAAAGGUGAAUCACCUGAAUGGGGAAGAAGAUGGCAGUAGUGAUCAGAGUCAGGCUUCUGGGACCACAGGUGGCCGAAGAGUUUCAAAGGUCCUAAUGGCCUCAAUGGCCCGUAGGGCCUCAAGGGGCCCCAUAGCCUUUUGGGCCCACAGGGCAUCAAGGACUUGGUUGGCUGCUUGGGCCCGGAGAGCCUUGCUUUCCCUGAGGUCACCUAAGGCCUGUAGGGGCAAGGCUCGCCACAGAACUGUGAAUCUCCAGUCUUCCCAAGAACCUGAAGCACCACCGCCUCAGGAUGUGGCCCUUUUGCAAGGGAGGGCAAAUGAUUUGGUGAAGUACUUGCUGGUUAAAGACCAAAAAAUUGAUAAGAAUGACCACUUGUACAUUCUUCUCAGCACCCUAGAACCCACUGAUGCAGGCAUACUGGGAACAACCAAGGAUUCACCCAAACUGGGUCUCCUUAUGGUGCUUCUUAGCAUCAUCUUCAUGAAUGGAAAUCGGCCCAGUGAAGCUGUCAUCUGGGAGGUGCUACGCAAGUUAGGGCUGCAUCCAAGGGUGCAUCACUCGCUCUUUGGGGAUGUAAAGAAGCUCAUUACUGAUGAAUUUGUGAAGCAGAAGUAUCUGGAUUAUGCCAGAGUCCCCAAUAGCAAUCCCCCUGAAUAUGAGUUCUUCUGGGGCCUGCAUUCCUACUAUGAGACCAGCAAGAUGAAAAUCCUCAAGUUUGCAUGCAAGGUACAAAAAAAGGAUCCCAAGGAAUGGGCAGCUCAGUAAUGUGAGGCUAUGGAAGCAGAUUUGAAGGCUGCAGCUGAGGCUGCCAAUGAAGCCAAGGCGAGGGCUGAGACUAGAGCCCGAAUGGGUAUUGGACUUGGCUCUGAGAAUGCUGCAGGGCCCUAUAACUGGGAUGAAGCUGAUAUUGGACCCUGGGCCAAAGCCCGGAUCCAGACAGGAGCUGAAGUUAAAACAAAAACCCAAGAGUGAGGUAGUACCAAUGCUGGUGCCAGUGAAAGUACCAGAAGUGGCUUCAAUGCCAGUUCAAGCCUGACUGCCACUCUUACAUUUGGCCUCUUUGCUGGCCUUAGUGGAGCUGGUACUAGUACCAACAGCAACUCUGGUGCCUGUGGUUUCUCUUACAAGUGA